CUAGUCACCCCUUCCCUCACUCUGUCACUAGUCACCCCCUCACUCUAGUGACAAUGAGGGAGGGGGUGACUAGUGACAGAGUGAGGGAGGGAAGUGGUGACUAGUGACAAAGUGAGGAAGGGGUGACUAGUGACAGAGGGAGGGGUGACUAGGGAUAGAGUGAGGGAGGUGGUGACUAGUGACAGUCACCACCUCCCUUACUCUGUCACUAGUCACCACCUCCCUCACUCUGUCACUGUGUCACCCCCUCCUUCUGUCACUGGUCACCCACUCCCUCCCUCACUCUGUCACCAGUCACCCCUUCCUUCCCUCUGUCACUAGUCACCCCUUCCUUCACUCUGUCACCCCCUCACUCUGUCACCCCCUCACUCUGUCACUAGUCACCCCCUCACUCUAGUGA